GGGAGAACUUGGUCCAGAUGGAACUAUUGGGCCUCCUGGUAUCAAUGGUCCCCAGGGAAAACAAGGAGAAGUUGGGCCUGCUGGUCCUAAAGGUGACCCAGUGAGUAUUCUAUAGGUCGAGAGUUUGUUUCUGUGUAGUAGUAAAAAAAAAAAAAAAAAUAUGUAAACAUCAGUUUGAGGGUUUUCAUUGUUUCUACAGGGGAAUUUUGGAGAUGAAGGAGAUAUAGGUGAACAUGGACCACCUGGACUCCCUGUAAGAUAUUAAAUCAAAACCAAAAUCUUAGCAGAGGCAACAAUAUCACACAUUAGUUAAAAUAUGAAGCUCAUGUAAUAGGUCAAAAGGCUAUUUUUGGUCA
rnacentral:lncRNA from 1 species